rnacentral:misc_RNA from 1 species
GAGAGAGAGAGAGAGAGAGUUCCUCUUUCAACUUUAUUCAUUUUAAGGUGCAAACAUUCUAGGAUUUCUGAAGUUCUCAAGGUAAUGUGGAGGAAGUACAUGUCAUAUAUAUAUAUUUUUUUCCGAUUAUGUAAUUGAACCAUUCAUGUGGCUAACUAGACUUCAGCUGAGCUACCUUUGAUGCUUUCGUAUAAUGAUUUUGAUAUUCUUCUGAAGUGUUCACCGGCUCAUGUAUAGUCACAUGGUU